rfam:Ogataea parapolymorpha DL-1 chromosome I, whole genome shotgun sequence.
GCAUACAUGGCCGAGUGGUCCAAGGCGGUAGACUCAAGUUCUAUUCUCAGUGAUGGGACGCAGGUUCGAACCCUGCUGUAUGCA